rnacentral:rRNA from 1 species
UGGGGGAUAUUGCACAAUGGACGAAAGUCUGAUGCAGCGACGUCGUGUGGGGGAUGAAGGCCUUCGGGUUGUAAACUCCUUUCGCCCGCGGAAAAGGCAGGGUUUUGGCCUUGUUGAUGGUAGUGGGUAAAGAAGCGCCGGCUAACUACGUGCCAGCAGCCGCGGUAAUACGUAGGGCGCGAGCGUUGUCCGGAAUUAUUGGGCGUAAAGGGCUCGUAGGCGGUUUGUCGCGUCUAGCGUUUAAGGCUCGGGCUUAACCCGGGUUUGCGUUGGGUACGGGCAGGCUUGAGUGCGGUAGGGGUAACUGGAAUUCCUGGUGUAGCGGUGGAAUGCGAAGAUAUCAGGAGGAACACCGGUGGCGAAGGCGGGUUACUGGGCCGUUACUGACGCUGAGGAGCGAGAGCGUGGGGAGCGAACAGG